AACGAACGCUGGCGGCAUGCCUAACACAUGCAAGUCGAACGAGACCUUCGGGUCUAGUGGCGCACGGGUGCGUAACGCGUGGGAACCUGCCCUUAGGUUCGGAAUAACUCCCCGAAAGGGGUGCUAAUAUCGGAUAAUGUCUUCGGACCAAAGUUUUAUCGCCUUUGGAUGGGCCCGCGUUGGAUUAGCUAGUUGGUAGGGUAAAAGCCUACCAAGGCGACGAUACAUAGCUGGUCUGAGAGGAUGAUCAGCCACACUGGGACUGAGACACGGCCCAGACUCCUACGGGAGGCAGCAGUGGGGAAUAUUGGACAAUGGGCGAAAGCCUGAUCCAGCAAUGCCGCGUGAGUGAUGAAGGCCUUAGGGUUGUAAAGCUCUUUUACCCGGGAUGAUAAUGACAGUACCGGGAGAAUAAGCUCCGGCUAACUCCGUG
rnacentral:rRNA from 1 species